GUCGUGACAGAAAUGUGGUGUGAUUAUGAAGAUUGACUUACACAAAGCCUAUGAUAGUGUGGAUUGGGAAUUUCUGAGGCAAGUUCUGAUUGAUUUUAAUUUUCCCUUGUAAUUGAUUAUUUUGAUUAUAUUUUGUGUUACUUUGAACUAAAUAUUUUUAAUUUGGAAUGGUGGAUCUCUUUUGUAUUUCUCUACAUAACAGGGUUUAAGAUAAGGUAAUUCUCUGUCUUUAUAUAUGUUUAUUUGUGUAUGGAGAAAUUGUCUCACAUGAUACAAAAAAGGGUUUAUAGGAAGAAAUGCAAGAUAAUCAAAGCAUCCUGGUUGAGCCCUACACUUUCACAUUUAUUUUUUACAAAUGGCUUUCUUUUUUUUUUUUGCUCAGGCAGAUACAGGGCAAAUACAGGUUGUUAUGGAGUGCCUAAUUGAGUUUGCUACAGCAUCCGGUUUAGUCAUUGUUUGCCAAAAUCUAAACUCUUUUUUUCUCUUAAUGUCUCUCGUACAAUUGUUAAUUCCCUUAGUGUAGCUUAUGGAAUCCCAAUUACCGAUGACUUAAGUAAAUACUUAAGUGUUCGAUUGUUCACAAGAAAACAUCUAAACAGUUAUAUGCUUUUAUUAUGGAUAAAGUUAAAGAUAAAAUAGCGUGUUGGAAAAAGAAUGUGCUGUCGAAUGUGGGUAGGAGAAUCCUAGUACAAUUUAUGAAUGCCAUUCCAAUUUACACAAUGCAGACAGCCUUGCUCCUUAUGGCUACUUGUUGGUGGUUGGACAAGAUAGCUCGAAUUUUUUGAUGGAGCGAUAAGGAAUAUAGCUCCCAUAAUUAGGGGAGUGCAUUGGUCAAUUUCGAUUUCGGGAGAAAUCAAAAUCGACGAAACUGAUGAGAAAUUUCAACUGAUCGAAGUCGAUCGGUUACAAUGAAAAAUCAAUCAAUCGAAGUCGAUCUCGAUUUCAGUUAGUUUCAGUCAGUUGAAAGUGUUUUUUUCUUUUUAAAGUUAGGUUUCAUUCAAACAAGAUAAUAAUCCCUAGAUAUUCAUGGAGUCAAGACUGGUAGGAAAGUAGUCAAGGUCCUCUGUUCAUAAACUGGUUAUACAAAAACAUAAGUAGACAUCUUAACCUUUCAAUACAAAAAAUCAUUCCUUUAACAUUAACAUUCAUCCCUCAAACCCAUCACUUGAAAAAGCAUAUCACUAA
rnacentral:lncRNA from 1 species